UCUUCAUGGCAAACAAGCAUGACCGGAUCAAGGUCCACGUGCCCACAGGCUUUGCUGCCUUCCCUUGUAAGUUAAUGCAUAUGCCUGAAAAAAUG